rnacentral:rRNA from 1 species
UCCUCCCUCUGUCGGCGUGCUUAACACAUGCAAGUCGAACGGAAAGGCCCUGCUUUUGUGGGGUGCUCGAGUGGCGAACGGGUGAGUAACACGUGAGUAACCUGCCCUUGACUUUGGGAUAACUUCAGGAAACUGGGGCUAAUACCGGAUAGGAGCUCCUGCUGCAUGGUGGGGGUUGGAAAGUUUCGGCGGUUGGGGAUGGACUCGCGGCUUAUCAGCUUGUUGGUGGGGUAGUGGCUUACCAAGGCUUUGACGGGUAGCCGGCCUGAGAGGGUGACCGGCCACAUGGGGACUGAGAUACGGCCCAGACUCCUACGGGAGGCAGCAGUGGGGAAUAUUGCACAAUGGGCGGAAGCCUGAUGCAGCAACGCCGCGUGCGGGAUGACGGCCUUCGGGUUGUAAACCGCUUUCGCCUGUGACGAAGCGUUACUGACGGUAAUGGGUAAAGAAGCACCAGCUAACUACGUG